GUCUUAACUCUUGCCCACGUGCACCGUGGAAAGUGCAUGUGGCUGCCUUGAUAACCCGCAUUCAACCCUGCGUGGCCCAUCCAGCCGGUCUCCGGAUCAGUGAGCAGGGAUAACUGGUCUCAGCUUUUGGCAUGGAUGCAAGUGAAGACCACGGUGGAGAGUGGGGAAUGAAGAGUUUCCCCACAGCUGCCCUUUAGACAGUCAGGGCACGUUCUGAGGACGGCCUUCCGUAGGCCCUCGCUGUUCCCGGUGCUCCAAAAGCAGGUGUGUCACUUCUCUUAAAAGUGGCUGCAGUCAAAGCCUCGAAAGCAGAAGCAGGAAGACCCCUUUGAAUGUCGUGCUUUCUAACGUUGUGCGUUUAACUGAAACGACUGUUCACCGAAGCCCACGGAUUUCUGGUCUGGAGAGAGGAGACCUCGCCGGCGGCUUAGAAACUUUGGAACAAAGCAGCUGCUCGGUUCCAGGCUUUCUGGGAGAAUCUCUGAGACAGAACCCUAUGGCUUUUGGUGAAUGCCGGAAAACCAGGAAGAUGGUUCAGGGGAUUUGGCACUUCUGUCAGAUGCUGUUUUCUGUAGUUCCAGUGACCCACUCAGGCAAAGAUUUAAUAGAUUUUAGGGUCAGAAGGGACCUAUGAGAUGAUUGAGCAUGAACAUGCCUAUUUCUCACUAAGCUCCACCGUUCCAGUACAGUUAAAAAUGCUGACGGCGAGAACGAGAGAGGAAAGGAGGAAAAAAAAGGAACGGUCCGGUCUCUGUGCGAAUCCCUGGUGGAUGGGGAACUUGAGGAUUAAUAGAGACACGCUGAAAGGUACCAGAGCCCUGCUUCCGUGUGUGUGCGUGUGCAUGCGUGCGGUAGCUAGAUCCCAGGGUUCGUGGAGACUGCGUGGACAUGGAGGUAUCGAUCGUGGAGGCUUUGCUGUGGUCCACAUAGGCACAGCUGGCAGGCACGGCACAUGCUU
rnacentral:lncRNA from 1 species